GACGAACCGUGCGAACGUUGUUCGGAUUCACUGGGCUUAAAGGGCGCGUAGGCGGGAGACCAAGUCAGGGGUGAAAUCUUUCGGCCCAACCGGAAAAGUGCCCCUGAUACUGGCCGCCUCGAGGGGGGUAGGGGCAUGCGGAACUUCCGGUGGAGCGGUGAAAUGCGUAGAUAUCGGAAGGAACGCCGGUGGCGAAAGCGGCGUGCUGGACCCCUUCUGACGCUGAGGCGCGAAAGCCAGGGGAGCAAACGGG
rnacentral:rRNA from 1 species